rnacentral:rRNA from 1 species
UCCUACGGGGGGCAGCAGUGAGGAAUAUUGGUCAAUGGUCGGGAGACUGAACCAGCCAAGCCGCGUGAGGGAUGAAGGUACAGAGUAUCGUAAACCUCUUUUGUCAGGGAACAAAGGCGGGGACGUGUCCCCGGAUGAGUGUACCUGAAGAAAAAGCAUCGGCUAACUCCGUGCCAGUAGCCGCGGUAAUACGGAGGAUGCGAGCGUUAUCCGGAUUUAUUGGGUUUAAAGGGUGCGCAGGCGGUCUGUUAAGUCAGCGGUCAAAGCCCGGGGCUCAACCCCGGCCCGCCGUUGAAACUGGCAGU